ensembl:lncRNA
GGAUGAAGGAUGCCGAGGAAAGGGGCCAUGUGUGCUGAGGUCCAGAGAUAUGAGCAGGGACGUCUCCAAAACAUAGGCUCUGGACCAGGAACACUGAUAGACUGGCCUCUUCCUCCAGAGGAGAGGUCGGGCUCAGGAAAUAUCCAUCCCCAAAACGACAGAGCAGGGACAGUUCCCAGCCCAGAGGGACAGGCUCGGUCGGAGUUGAGGAUGCCAUUGUGGAGAAGGAGACGCAUGUGGACAGAGAAUGGCUCUGGAGCUGUGGAGCCUGGUGCAGGAUCUGACUCAGAGACACUCCAUAAACCUUUCUCAAAGAAUAUAUGAAUGCGGCGUGAAAGUAGUCAUCUGCUCUCUGCCAGGCACUGUCCUUGAUGCUGAAGACUCAAGGCCGCUUCACUACAGCCCAGUCCUAAGCAUCCGCCCAUCUCCCAGCAGCCCAGCCAGGUCUCCACUGUUGACCACGACAAGGUCAACAACAAGGUGUCCACCUAGCCUCAUGGGCGCAGGAGGCCUUGCUCUCCCCAAGCUCAAGGUGGCUGCAGUCAGUUCCCACCAGGUGACAGUGAUUGCCUUAGCAGCUGGUGGGCGCUCCCUGCCCCGGAGGCCGCCCACCUUGGGUGGGACACAAGGCAGCAGACAAUGGGAAGGAAUGAGAAUUCGUGAGGCCAGCAAGGGUGGCUG